rnacentral:tRNA from 1 species
UUGCCAAGUGGAAAGGCACUGGAUUUUGAUUCCAGUAUUCGCAGGUUCGAAUCCUGCU